rnacentral:rRNA from 1 species
GGCUGGCAUGCAUGUGGCUCUUGCAGUCGUAUGUAGCGCCUAGUCAUCCGUACGGGAAACACAUUCGGCCUUCACUGGUCGGUGUGCGGAUCGUACACUUUACUUUGAAAAAAUUAGAGUGUUUCAGGCAGGCAAUUGCUUGGAUACUGCAGCAUGGAAUAAUGGAAUAGGACUUUGACUUAUUUGUUGGUUUCUCGAAGUCAAAGUA